CUUCUUCUUCUUCUUCUUCUUCCUUCACCUAAUUUAAUCUAACCAAACUACUACUGCUACUACUACUACAAUUUUUCUCCUCCUCCUGCUCUUUUGUCUUACCUAACAUAACCAAACUACUACUACUACUACUACUACCUACAACUACUACUACUACAGCUCUGGAUAGUAUAUAUAUGUCUGGUGCAUGCUGAGGACAAGGCACACCUCCCAAGACUAUCCGGUGUGGCGUUAGUCAAGCCAUGGCAAAUAGUCUGGAGCCCUUGCCUUUGUACUAUUCCUGAUAGUCUUUGCUGUGGCUGCUGCUGCUGCUGCUGCCUACAUGUGGGUCAAAGGUUAGUAGUACACUAUCCCAGGCUGUUCUGCUGGGAUAGUAUGCCAUCUUGCACUAUUUUGGUAGAAGUUGACCAUUUUUAACUGUCUUGGCAGGAUAGUACAUGAUUUUGGACUAUUUUGCUAUGAUGGGAUGUUUUUUGUGGUGUUUUGUUCAAAAUAGUACACCAUUUUGUGAAGUCAUCCCCCUCCUAAAAAAAAUUUCAUACUAAAAAAACACCAAAAACACAAUUUUAGCCAUCACCCAUAAAAUAGUUUACUAUCUGACUAUCCAGAGGCACAGCAGACUCAGGUAGUCAAGGAUUUCACAGAGGAGGCCUUGAAACAUAAACCCCCAAAAAACACAAUUUUGAACUAUUUUGACUAUUAGCCCCAAAAUAGAACACCAUCUGACUAUCCAUAAAGUGAGGGACUAAAUUAUACAUCACAAAAAAUAUAGUCAUAUUUGAAGAGCAAAAAAACAUUGAUAGUAACAUUUUCAACACAAAACCACAAAGGAAACCCAUAGUUUUAACUAUUGACCAAAGCAGUGUACUAUCUGACUAUCCCCAGUCACAGCAGAGCCCCAGAGGAGCUAGCACAGACCAGUGUUGUUGUUGUUGUUGUUGUUGAUCCUGCUAUGGGUGGUGCUGAUGGAGCCCCAUGUGGAGCUGUCCCUGGCUGUCACCAUCACCACCUCCCUGCCACACUCUCUCUCUCUCUCUCUCUCAAAAGCCACAAGUUCCUUUAGUGCUCUGAACAUUUUUUGUUUUUGUAAAGGCAUUUUAAAGGUUGGAGCAAAGCCUUGAAUGAUGAGCACCUUUGUUGACCUGAGUGAGACCUCUGCUACAGCCCCACAUGACAGAAGAGACAACUAGUGGGCCGUGUGUGGUGAACCCGUUUUGUCUGUCAGAGCCACCCCUACAGCCACACACCACCACCACCACCACAACUAGCAGGAGAGGGCAUCCACCACCUCCUCCUCCAGCAGCUGGCCAGGGCACAGGACCAGGCUGAGCAAGCAGGUGGUGAUGCAGAGGGUGGCCAGCUUGCCCGCCCCCUCCUGUUGGCCAGCCACAGCACAGCACACAGCUGCAGUCUGUUGCGGCCAGGCUACUGAGGCACAAGUCUAUGCACGCGUCCGGGACAUGAAGGUGACGAG